UAAGAAAAAAACAUAGCUUCGACAUGUAAAAAAAAGAACAAUUCGACACCAACUCCUACCAACAAGAACAACCAACUUCUUCCAAGAAAAAUAAUGCAGCCAACAUGUCUUCCGAACACCAACAAUUCCAAGCCCAAUCCAACCUCCAAACUCAAGAAAAAUCCCAUGGGAGCAAAUCCCUUCACUUUCCUCGCUCUCCUCCACCUCCUACUCUUCCAUUCUGUCAUUGCUGUCAUACCAGCGGCGGCGGCGGCGGCGAAUAUUGGAACGGCGGAGCCGUUCAUCGGCGUUAACAUCGGCACCGACCUGACGGACCUGCUCCCGCCGGCGGACCUCGCGACCUUCCUCAAGGCGCAGCAGAUCAAGCACGUCCGCCUCUACGACGCCGACCCGGGCAUCCUCUCCGCCCUCGCUGGCGCUGGCGUCUCCGUGGCCGUCGGCGUGCCCAACAACCAGCUCCUCGCCCUGGGCUCGUCCCCGGCCACCGCCGACGCCUGGGUCGCCCGCCACGUCCUCCCCUUCCACCCGGCCACCCCCAUCUCGGCGGUGGCCGUGGGCGACGAGGUCCCUGCGGCGCUGCCGUCCGCCCUCCCGCUCCUCCUCCCGGCCCUCCGCUCGCUCUCCGCCGCCCUCGCUGCCGCCAACCUCUCCUCCAUCCCUGUCUCCACCCCGCUGCCCUUCUCAGUCGUCCUCGACCCGUUUCCACCCUCGCAGGCUUACUUCAACCAGACCCUGGCCAACUCCUUCUUCCUCCCCCUCCUCCGGUUCCUCGCCGACACGGCCUCUCCUCUCAUGCUCAACCUCUACCCUUACUACGCCUUCGUGCAGAGCCGCGGCGCCGUGCCCCUGGACAACGCCCUGUUCAAGCCGCUUUCCCCGUCCCUCGAGGAGAUCGAUCCCAACACGCUCCUCCACUACACCAACGUGCUCGACGCCAUGGUCGACGCUGCGUACGUCUCCAUGCGCAACCUCAACUUCACCGGCGUACCCGUGCUCAUCACCGAGACCGGGUGGCCCCAUAACGGCUCCCGCCGCGACGAGCCCUACGCCACCGCCAAUUACGCCAGCACCUACACCUCCAACUUCAUCCGCCACAUGCUCGACCGCCGCGGCACGCCGCUGCGCCCGGAGGCCACCCCCAGCGUCUACAUCUACGAGCUGUUCGACGAGGACCUGCGCCCGGGACCGUUGUCGGAGGCCCACUGGGGACUCUUCUACGGGAACGGGACGCCGGCGUACCUGCUCAACGUGGCCGGGGCGGGGGGAUUCCUGGCCAACGACACCACGAACCGGACGUACUGCGUGGCGGCGGAGGAAGCGGACCGACGGUCGCUGCAGGCGGCGCUGGACUGGGCAUGCGGACCGGGUCGGGCCAACUGCUCGGAGAUACAGCCCGGGGAGAGCUGCUACCAGCCAAACGACGUGAGGAGCCACGCCUCGUACGCCUUCGACAGCUAUUACCAGAUGCAGGGCAAGGCCGCCGGUUCCUGCUUCUUCCAGGGCGUCGCCAUGAUCACCACCACCGACCCAAGUGAGCCAGUCAAUUAGCUCCUCUUUGUCAUUUUCCUUCCCGAAACCUUCAUCAUUACAGUCUUUCUAUGCUUUUUACCUUACCAGUAGCUUGUGAUUAGCAUGAACCAAUUAGCAUUAAUGCCGUAUCCAAGUACAGCAGUCAAAAGUUCAGCGGGGUGCCGAAGGGAGAAUGAGGCGAGCAUGAGAGAGAGUGGGCGGGUCAUGGGACAGUGAAGUCAGAGCAGAGUAGUCUGCUGUAAAUUUUGUCUGUUACCCCUUGCAUCGGAAGGCAAAUCCGAAGAAGGAAUCAUUUAGACUGCAGAAUGAAGGAAGCUGCUCAGAUCGGACUAGUUCUGAAGGCAUCGCAAACUUUCCAGUGUCACCAUUCCAUUAUUCUAGACAUGGUUUAGUAUGGUUCACGUGAAUCCUAGUGGCUUCUCGUCCAUAGACUUCUUCUUCGUGGAAUUGACUUCAUAUUAGAUUACACUGCUGCCGGUGAAGGUAGCGCGUCAGAAGAGUUCGCUUGCAGAGGCAUCUUCCACCUGACUCGGUGUGGUCCACGAUCGAUCCUUCAACAGCCUAAAUUAGAUUUCAGGAGAGACAAUUGCUUCUCGGUAAGGGGUUGUCCUGGUCCUACCAUUGCUUAAUAUAUUGAUUGCAACCUACCUGGAGAAGUUUCUUCUGGAAGCUCUGUUCCUAUGACUCGGUCCGAGAGUCCCACCCAGGUGGUGUUGCCGUGCCACUGCACAGCGGCACCAUUGAUGCAUUUUUAUGGUUAAGCGGCGAAACACGGAAGCGAGCACCGAAUGAUUUGGUGCCGCAGAAGCUCAUCAUUUAGCAACGCGUUUCCUCGUAACAGGAUGUUACUGUUUCACCGUAUAUAGGAGGAGGCGAUGGUUGAGAAGACUCAUCAUCAUGUAUGUCUGGAGGAGAGGAGAGGAGAUAGAGGCAGCGAUGUUGUGACCUUUUUACUAUCAUUUGCAAACAACGAUCUAAUCCCCAUCCCUUGUCACAGUUGUGAGGUGAAGAACCAUCGUAUUUGACCAUAUGAUAUAUCGAACAAACUAUUCUGAGAUAGAAUCCAUCUUUUUUGCCUUUUUUUUUUUUUCUUUCUGAUUUAGGGUUCUGAUGAGAUCUUUUUCUCCGAUAACUGAGACAUGCGGGCGAUACCGCUCCGUGGUAGUCCUAUGCAUCUCGUGUUACCGGAUGUCUCGAAUGGCCAUGGGAAAUGCAUCUUUCCUGGAAGCAAACAGAGGAGUGCCACAGGAGCAGGAACGAACAAGGCCGAAUCCAGUAAGGCUGUGGUGGUGUCCCCGACAUCGAGACUAGGAAAA